AAUGAUAUAAAUCAGUUCAUAUCUUUUUGCGUUCUCUUUAGGUUCUCACUUUGCAUAUGAAUCCUAUUUUCUAUCUUUAUAUCAAAAAGGUAAGGUAUCAAUAUAUUCUAAUUUCUCAGUUCCAUUCUUUCAUUAUUAGGUGUCAUUUUUCACUUUGAAGCAUUAAUCAUCUUUUUUCGUCUUGUUUACAUUGACUUAUUUCUUCAAUGAAGAACAACCCACAACAUUCAUGGAAAAGAGACAAAGAAGUUAAGUUUUGUCUCAAGUAUAUGUAUUGUUCUUCCCAAAACUUGUGUAAAUUUGAAAAACGAAACUUGUGCAUGCAGGAAAUGAGACUUAUCUGUCAUCCAUUGCAACUAUGCCAUAACAUGUAUUUGGCAUAACAAGUGAAAACUAGAGGAUUAUGUCUCUGUUUAUUAUAGGAAAACCACCUUUAUGAAGACUUAUGCACAUAUCGUUUUCCCAACAAAUGACCCACAACUUUGUCCUUUAAAUGGGAAAUUAGCAGUGAAUCCACCAUUAAUGCGAAGGGAAAUUGGUCGCCCCAAAAAGCUUAGGAACAAGACCAAUGAUGAGCCUAGAAACGCACAUGUGUUGCAAAGAAAACUUGCAACAGUUACUUGUCACAUGCGUGGAACUAUGGGACACAACAAACAAAGUUGUAAGGGAAAUAGACCCGCCGAUACCAAAGGGUGGCAACAAGAACAAGAAGUCCAAAAAUAUCCCAACUGAAAGAUCUGUUGGAAACAAGAAUAAGAAGUCAAAGAAAAAUCAAGAAAUUGAAAUUGGAUCUUCAUCACAAGCACUAACUCCUACACAACCGACUCAAGAAUACAUUAAUGAAGAGUCUAAGAUGAUGCUCUACGUUUUGUAAUGUGCAUUUUGUGUCAUGAUGUUGUAUGCAAUGUUUUUUUCUAUUAUGUAACAUAUUGUGUCAUGAACAAGUGCAAUAUCUCUUUUUGUUAUACCUUACCAGUGUCAUGAACAAGUGUGAUGUUUUAAACUUGUUAAAUCAAUGAAGAUGAUUUUGGUACAUUA